CAGUAGCCACGGUAAUACGGAGGGAGCUAGCGUUGUUCGGAAUUACUGGGCGUAAAGCGCGCGUAGGCGGUUACUCAAGUCAGAGGUGAAAGCCCGGGGCUCAACCCCGGAACUGCCUUUGAAACUAGGUAACUAGAAUCUUGGAGAGGUCAGUGGAAUUCCGAGUGUAGAGGUGAAAUUCGUGGAUAUUCGGAAGAACACCAGUGGCGAAGGCGACUGACUGGACAAGUAUUGACGCUGAGGUGCGAAAGCGUGGGGAGCAAACAGGAUUAGAGACCCCAGUAGUCCCUGUCUCUUAUAA
rnacentral:rRNA from 1 species